rnacentral:rRNA from 1 species
GAUGAACGCUGGCGGCGUGCCUAAUACAUGCAAGUCGAGCGAACGGACGAGAAGCUUGCUUCUCUGAUGUUAGCGGCGGACGGGUGAGUAACACGUGGAUAACCUACCUAUAAGACUGGGAUAACUUCGGGAAACCGGAGCUAAUACCGGAUAAUAUUUUGAACCGCAUGGUUCAAAAGUGAAAGACGGUCUUGCUGUCACUUAUAGAUGGAUCCGCGCUGCAUUAGCUAGUUGGUAAGGUAACGGCUUACCAAGGCAACGAUGCAUAGCCGACCUGAGAGGGUGAUCGGCCACACUGGAACUGAGACACGGUCCAGACUCCUACGGGAGGCAGCAGUAGGGAAUUUUCCGCAAUGGGCGAAAGCCUGACGGAGCAACGCCGCGUGAGUGAUGAAGGUCUUCGGAUCGUAAAACUCUGUUAUUAGGGAAGAACAUAUGUGUAAGUAACUGUGCACAUCUUGACGGUACCUAAUCAGAAAGCCACGGCUAACUACGUG